CUUUAACUGUACAAAGUCAGAGAAAGAUGGUUGCUUACUUUAAGAUGGUAAUUAAAGCAAAGUGAAAACACUAUUUUAUUUUUCUAUGUACUGAUACCUACUAUUUUAAAAAAGCUGUGAAUCCUGUUGUCAUCACUGUAUUAAAACAGUGGGACUCCAAAAUGGUUAAUAUUCCAGGACGUUGGCUUUUUCAGUCUGUCUCCUUUGAAGGUGCAAACGUACAUGCUUGCCAAAUCACUUCUUUUAAACUAAAUUAAAAGCAGCUGUUAGAGGGGGCCAUCGCAGACAUAGCUAAAGCUAGAGCAAAGGUUUCACUGCCUGGUGCAGCUGAGGCAGGGACUUUUUCUUGUUUGUAGCCUGAAACCUGGUACCCAGAUUGCAAUGUAAUUUCCCUUUAAUUUUGGCGCCAGUAUUACAGACAGGAAGUUAAUCCAUCCUUAGUCACUGGUGGUCUAAGUGUAGAGAAAGGAUUUUGUGUGUUUUAGUUCAUCAUGUUGCCAGAUUUUCUGACUCCUAUUGUUAAUUUGUCUCUAUUGCUGCCAGAUGUGCUGAUGUGGUGACAGACAUUGAUAUGAGUAUUUGAUGAUAACUAAGUGCGUAUUGAAAGAGAUGAAUUUUUCCCGAGUUAAGCACAAAGCUAUAAAUCAAUAAGACCUGUUGGAGUGUAAAUAUUCUAAUCUCCGAAGGACAUGGAUUCCUCUACCUAAAUAAAGCUUUCAGGGUCAAUGCUGGAAUUUUAGACCAUUCCCACAGAAUUUCUUCGAGCAGCCUAAAAUUACAAAUGGCUGUGACUUUAUUUGAUGCCUUAAACAUACAGAGAUGGAAAUGAAUUCUGAUAAUGAGCAUCUCUUUUUCCUUGUUUGAGCUUUCAUAUUUAGGACGUUUAUUGUGCUGAAAUACAGUGGCAAUUGUAAGCUGCAAGAUACUUGCAAUGUCUGAAUAGUUCUCUUAAAGAUUCUUGAUGUAACCAAACAUCUGUUUUAAAACCUUGCAAGUGUUACCUUCGUUCUCUUUCCUCUGAAGCUCCAGGGAUUAGGUAGCUGGUAGUUUGAUAUUUACACAGCUGAACGCUGAAUCCUGAGUUGAUGUGAUGAGAAAAUAAAUUGUGGCCAACACUGAAUAAAGCUUAUACUGAAGCUCAGAAGAGUCUUAGAAUGAGAAACAAGUGUUGCUGAGUGACAGAACAGACAUUGUGCUGACUUAUGACCAGCAGCAACUGGAAUUUCAUCACGGGCUCAUAUAGAACUUGUAAAAUGUUCUUUAGAGACAGUAUCCUCUUAAUGCAUUACACAAAUGUUCUACCCUCUGAACUCUUACAAACAAUUGAUGAGGUAGAGAUUUCUGCAAGCACUGAAUAAUCAUUUUAAACAGGUAAACAGAAUGAUCUCUUUACCAAAAUCUUUCUGGAGCAAACUUUCCCUAAAUGAAUAAGCUAAAGGGUUUGUCUGAAGCAACACAAGGGAUGCCUGCGAAGCGUCUGAAAUGAAGGUUGGAUGUUGCAAUUUAGAAUGUAUAAAACCUUAAGAGUAAUUCUCCCUGAAUAAUUUUUCCAGAAUUCAUUUCAGGACCCAAUGCUCUAGCUUUUUUCACUUCUUUUGUAUUAUUAUUUUCUUUUAUGCACAUUUCUUGUACGUAUGGUUUUACUCAGAUGAGGAGCUUUUCAUAUAUCUUCCUGUAUUAUAUUUAGAAGUGUUACAACAGAAUAAAGGCUAUAGUGUUUUAAAUAACAUAUGCAGGGCUAAAAGUGCUUAUCGUGGUUCUUGGGCCUGGGGAAUAGGAUUCAUCUGUUCCACUAAAACAGCGUACAGCCAUAUCCUAUCUUACCGGGGCCCCUCUCCUGUUCCCCAGGCUGCCUUUUCCACUCCAGUUCAAUAUCUC
rnacentral:lncRNA from 1 species